GGCAGACUUGUAAAAACAUGAGUGUCCUCACCUACCUUAUCCACCAGAUCUGGCACAGUGUGACUUCUGGCUCUCCGCCGAAGUCAAAAUGACUGUGGAAGGGAAACGUUUUGCAUUGAUACCUGAAUCAGUUCAUGACUGAAGCGGCCGUGACAGUGCAACUACAGGUCCGAAAGACGACUUCCAGAGCCGCUUCAGAAGGUGGCAGGAACAACGAGAAUGUAAAGCGACCCUCAGAGAACCGCAGAUACAGCCCGGGCAGAGCGUCUCCCUGCAGAGCAGCCAGGGACUCAGGCUGCUACUUCAACACUUCCAACCCGUCUUCUUCAAAACAGCUGCGAGACAGAGCCAAAAGCUCUUGAGAGUCAAGGUCAGCCUUAGAUAAUGGCCUGGAGGUGAAGCUCCUCACCUUGGCAAAGAGAAGAAUUACGGCCUCUCUCCCUCCUGUCCUCCGCUGAUGGCCAGAGGAGACAGAUAAUAUUUACUAUUUUGUCCUCACAAACCACGGCAGAGAUGCUGACCAUAUAUUUGAAGAGCAGGGACUUAAUAUUUUGAGAUGGGAUGUUGGGCCAGAAAACAGUGGACCGUCUGUUCUUAUUAAUUUAAGUGUGACAGCCGAACCUUCUCCGCCUCCUGAGGAGUACAGUGUCACACCAGCAAAAUGUCUCGGUAGGGAGCAAGGCCAUCGUGAACACCGGGAAGAAUUAGUUAUGCUGCUUGCACCGGACAAAAGAGCCGGGAGCAGUGGGGAUAAGGGUGAGUCUCGCGUGCAUGCCCCCUUGGCUGGGUGUGGACGGCAACAACAGCUGCGUCAGCCUGCAGGCCUAGUGCUGCGAGAGACA
rnacentral:lncRNA from 1 species